UCUGUUAGAGAGCAGAGCAGCACCUUGUGAGUUGUGUGUGAAGGCAGCUUGAGAUGGGAAGAGAAAACAUCCCAGUGAGCCGUGGAUACUCCUUAUCUAGCGCAGACACUUGUUCAUCCCAGUGGAGGGGAGCCUCAGCUACUUCAACAAACAUGGCUAUUUCCACCUCCCUGGCCCUAGCUGGGAAAGCUGGCACCAGUCCCAAACCUAUCCUAGCUCUCUCCGAGGCUGCUGACGGUGACUUGCUGGUUGGGCUGACAGCCAGGAUAAGUGGUGAGUGCCGGACUGCAAUGCUUUUCCCUCAGGCAACAACCAGUCAACCCGGGGUAAAACAGCAGUUCCUCCAGGAGUCGGGAAAUGGCAAAUUUUCAACCAUUUAUAUUGUGGCAACACCUGAAGAGAAAUUCACAGAAGAAAAAUGAGGUAUUUUCUGUGCUGAUCACUAGCUUCCUGCCAGAUUUCAAAGGUGCCAGAUUUUUAUUCUCAGCAUGAAAACAAUUACCUAAAGAACGAGGGUGACACAAUUAACAAACACGAAACAAUUAAUAAGCGUGAAUUAAUGAAGGUGUUAGAACUUCUCAAAAGAGGUUGCAGGAACAUUUUGCUAUGUGAAGUGCCAGUUAAAGGCAUCACAGUGCAUUGUCUAGCUCUAUAAACUGGCAGGUGUAUUCAGCCCAUGUGGAUUAAACAGACUUACAGAAGGUGAUAAAGGAAAUUCAACCCUUGAUAAACAAAAUAAAGAUGCAAAUCUCUCAAAACCAAACUCUCUUUUGUGAAAAAAACCACCUAUCACAACAGUAAUCUCAGUCUUCCUAUCCUCCCCCUGUCCCAGGGAGGUGUCUGUGGCAAGACCUGGGGAGCUGCUCUGUUUCUGUGACACCCUCUUGCCUACAGAUAAAGCUCACAGGAGCUGAAAGCGCAUCAGAAUUUUAUUCACAAUUUCCCAUUGCAUCACACCAGGCAACUACAAACACAAUACCCAAUGUUAGCUGAGCUGGUGUGACAUGGGUUUUGUUCUAACACAAAAGUGUGUCUAAACCUGUUCCAUCAACACUUUUUGUCAGGUAUGAGACAUGCAAUGAUUAAUGGAGAGAGACUUCACCAAGCAGGGCCACUCCACGCCCUCAUCCACCUAUUACCAAUUCCCACCUAUAGAAAACAUGUCUGGGCAAGACUCCACUGUAUUUGCUAGGUGAGAUGUUUUCUCAGGAAAAUAAUGAGAUUAUUCAUCUAGAGAUUAGGGAGCUUGAUUUAACCUUUCCUUUGAAGGAGCGGACUCCUUAAUGACACAGCGCUCUCCUAAGCAAUACCACACACCUGUAUUUUAAGUCAUGUUGGACUUAGACCUGACUCGGGCAUAUGGUUUGUACUAACUGUGUCAUAACUCCUAAGAACUGUGUAAAUUGGAGUCCUGGGCUGGUUUUUUUUUUUUUUUUUUUUUUCCUUAAAUUGAAUAAUUAGGCAUAAUCACUGCUGCAGAUGCUUCUUGCCAGGGAAUAAACCAUAUGCUAUGGAAAUGCUUCAGUACUACAGUUGUAUUUUAUUGGUCUAUUUGUUUUACUCUUUCAGUUGUACUGAAGUAGUUCAAGCAUUUUCAUAUGGACAAAGGUUUUAGGAUUUGAUGGCUAGUUCACUGAAGCUGCUGUCGCAUGUUUAUAAAUUCUGGUUUAGACAUUUGUAAACAUUUAUUUCCCGGAUACCAUCAGCCCAGACUCAGCCCAGACUCUAGAAGGGAGGUAUUUUUAUAGUGAGAAUGUAGCUAUUUUCACUAUAUGUUUUUAUUAUGACAAUUCACCGUGUGCCCUUGCCCAACUCCUCACUUGGGGGCACUUUCACAAGCAUUUCUGUGCAAGUGGUUGAAGUCCAAGCACAAAAAGCAGGGCAGUAUGCUUUCAGUUGGAAUUUUACAGAAACAAGCACAUAUUUGUUAGGUAUUUUCCCCCCUUAAUUUGUAAUUUUGUUUAGCUUUGGGUUUUUUUGAGAAUUGUUACUAGAGAACAGCAAAUAAAUAAAAUGUAAUGUGGUUUGAAGCAGAUUGACUGCCAACUAGAUUUUUUAAAAAGGCUGUAAUAAAUCAGUGAGUCAUCUGACAUUCACAGGAAAAAUGUGGGAUGUGCAGUAAGAAAGGAAAGUAUAGAAUGGAAAGGGUUGCUGCCCUGUUCUCCUGCUGUGCCUGUGUUACUGACUGCUGGAGAUUGGAUCUUAACCAGCACGGCCAUAUCAGAAAGAACCUGCCUCACAAGCACUUCAGAGGAACAAGGGCAAGAGUUGAAUUCAUACCUUGUAGUGAGGGAAUUGCCAGAAAAAAAGAUCAAGAAAGAAAAAAAAAUACAAAUUAUCUCUGGAUAUUUUUAAGCAUGGGAUAGGUUGAUAGAGAGCAGAAAACCUUUCAGAAAGCCAAAUGAAAGUCAUUAGUGUCUGGGACUAGGGGGAGAUUGUUAGGCAGGAAGAAAAAAAUGUAUUCUGGAUUAAUUACACUGUAGACUUUUUCCCUUGGGUUCUCUCCCAGUUGGAGUAUUAAUGCUUUGUAGUUAAUUAGCCCUUCCUCCCUUCCAAAGGAUUUUACGAUAUUAAUUAAUAUAUUAUUGUAAACCAAUCAAUCCUGCCAAUUGGCUUUAAGAAUUGCACAAAUGGUUAAAAACAAACAGCAACUAAAACAGAGACAUUAUUAUUCAAAGUUUUUUUUUAACUUGAAUUGGGCUGGUCAGCCCUAUAACACAGAGGUUCCAGGAUCCCUGCAUGUAGGAAAUUUAGGUAGACACACUAAAGGCCAUAUAGAAAUGCAGGUCCCAAUCCUGAAAUACCAUCCCAAGUCAAACCAUAAGUCCUAACCCAAAAGGACUUUUCAACUUAUACUUAGCUGUAAAGGUGUAAACAGUCUAACAGAAAUUUUAAAAUUUUCAAAGAACUAAGUGGUGCAUUAAAACCCCAGUGGAGCUGGUCCCUUUGCCAAGGUUCAUUUCAGGGAGAGUUUCACAGGGGUGAGGAGCUGCAGCAUGAAGACCAGUUACUGCAGCAGUUGCCAAAAUACUUUGACAUUUUUGAAGCCAAGCUGCAGAGGUCAUUAUAAAUCUCUUUAGGGAAGAUGUGAGAGACAGUCAAGGAGGAGGAAGGGUUGCUUUUGAGACGAGCUGUAAUUUAAUGUCUUGUAAAGGGUCAUCAGUGAAAUAUAGUGAGUACUGAGGCUGAGUUUAGACAGCAUCUGUACUGAGCUAUACUCAUGGUAUAACGCAUUGGCACCUCUCAUGAGCUGCUAUUUUAUUCCCCAGAAUUCCACAGUUCUUUAACAGAAAUAGAGAAAAGUAGGAAAAAAAGUGGAUAUAAAUAAAAAUGCAUACAGACAGGGUGGAGAUCAGAGCAGAACCUGCACAGAGCUUGGAACUCAGCCACGGGGAGGUCAGAGGAGUUAAAUCAUCAUGAAUAUCAACAUUUUAACUGCUGGGUUUGCUUGUGUAGGGGCUGGAUGCAUGGACUGGGCACACCCUGCAAUCACACUCCCGGCUAAUGAGGAACAAAGGAUCUCCGGUAGCUUUUGACCAGGCACACACAGUGGCAAAGCUCUCCAUUUUAUAACAAAAUCCAGGAGAGAGGGGUAGCUGGGGCCAUGGCAUCAGCACAUUUUCCUCACACAAAAGAGGUUGCACAGGGUCACAAAUCUACCUUCUCACUGCAAUUUGUCAUCUCAUAGAAAUGUGCUUUGAGUUUUUUUUCCUUCCUGUAAAGAUGUGACCACUCCUUCAAGACUUACCAAAGUUCCCAGAUCAGAGGUAUUUGAUAUAUGUUGCAAAAGCAUAAUUAUCCCUUCCUAAGUGUUCCUUCCUCCCAGGUGAGGAUAAGCCAGGAAAAAUUGUGAGUUACUUGGAUGGGUCAGUUCCAAGUGGAAUUUUAUUUGGAAGAAAAGCACAAUUCUCACAGAGUACCAGCAGCAUUAUUUCUUGUAUUAUUAGACAAUAAACGAUAAUGCAUUGCAUCCCAGCUUUAACAGAGAAGCUUCACAGUCAUAUUAUAAACAGGAACAUUAGGAGUUUUAUCAUCUUGUUCCAGGUAACCAUCUUGUUCCAUAUAAUUAUUUAGCUUUUUCUUCUUGGAUGAAGCAAUCUUUGAAAAUCUGCUCAUAUUUAAUUAGGCACAUUCCCUACUGAUUGCCACAGGCAUCUCCUGUGCAGGUGUAGUCUUGAAGCUGUAAAUUCAUUUUCAGGAGUGAUUCCAGGAAGGAGCUGGUCAGGGUAGAAUCUGCAGCAAAAACCUUCAUCACUGGUCUUACCAUGUAAGAGAAGACAACCUGCUCUGAGGCUCACUUCUGAGCAAGGAACAAACUGAGCAAUGAGACCUGGUCAGGGGUAGGUUUUCUUGUUAUUCUUUCAUGCUCAGUGCUUGGAAACCUUGCCCUUAGCUUCCUUGAAGUUACCUGGAGUUUAGAUGCACUCAGAAUCAUCCAAAAGUAGGUCCUAAUUAACUGAUCCAAAGGCAGGACAUUGAAUGACUGGGAUGGGCUUUGUGUUCCCACUGACUGAGGGAUAAGUACUGUGAUUGCACAUGCACAUUCCCACCCUGCCCUCAACCUGUGAUGAUCAGCUCCAUGUGAUCCCAAGCUUUAACACCAAUGAAAAGGAUAUGCACUAAAGCUGACAGCAGCAUAUGGCCACUCCCAGCACUUCAGUCUGCUUCAUGACUGGCUGGGGAUUUCUCUUUAGGCAAAAAAUAAUGGCAGCUCUGGUUGUUGGGGAAAGAAGAGGCUGGGAAAAUUAAUAAAGGGGCAGAAAAAAAUGGGGCUUCAGUAUAUUCCACAGGGAACCGAAAGUGUCUGAGUCCCUCUGUCACACUACAGAGCACAAUCAAAACAGGUUGACCGUGCCAUAGCCUCGUGACUAACGACAGCAAAGAAUGAAAGUUUCUAUUUGCAAACCACAACUGUGUCAACCUGUCUGGGACAUAAAGAUUGUACAAGCUUAGAACUUCUCCACUAGAAAGCAAAAAAUGUUAUGCGCUGAGAUCUACCAGCUUUGAGGAUCCAGCAGCCUCUUGCAUUCAGUGAAAUGAGGGACUGGAGAGAAAAAAAGAAUAGAGAUACUCUGUUGAGGCUGGACCUCUUGAAGAAGUCCUGAUGGCAAUGGUAGUGUUCCCAUAUGGAACACCAUCUUGAGGAAUUUCCCAUUUGUUGCCCCAGUACAACUGCACGUAGUCUGCAGUACCCAUACCUACAUUUUAGGAAGAAGAAGGUUCAGUGUUUAACUCUCCUACCUGAUCUUAAGAUGAUGUCUGACUCAGAGAAAGUAAUAACCAACUGCUGAGAAAUAGAAAUAAUUUUUAAAAAGGAAGGCUGGGACUUUCAAAAGAGUGGAUGGGGUGUUCGCAUCAGACCAGAGACUUCAGAGAAACAAAACAAACAAACAAACAAAUCCCCUUUUUAACUGCUCAGUUUAUCUGUUAAGUUUUUUAAAAUGGAUCUCUCUAGUCUGGUCUCAGAGUUUCACAUGAUGUUUGGGAAAUCAGUUUCUGGCUUCUCUCUCCUGGUGCAGCUUCUAUAGGAGCAUGAAUUUCCCCUGACAUUGGCCCAUCCUUUUUCUUUUACAGUGUUACACAAUGUACUUUGGGUAGUGGCAAAUUCAGCUCUAAUCUUUUCAUCUCCAGAAGCAGCUGAUUUUCUUUAGGUGCUGUAAGAAGAGACUUUGGGGAUCCUCUGGAGGGGACAGACUGGCUUUCUGAUUCCACAACUCCCCUGAAGCAGUAAGUAGUGCACACAGACAGAAUGACCAACAUGCAAUUCAAAAAGAAAAAGGAGCAAGAGAGAGAUUUGUUCCUACAACUACUGGACCUAGUACAAGAGAAGGCUCUAAAGCAUAUCCCAGAGAAUACUCAGAGGACUGAAAUGGAGCUCAUUGCCCUGGAAAGAGCCCUGACACAGGCAUUGAGGGGAGGAAUGUCAUGGACUAACUUCCUUUGUUAUUGGCUCUAAUGACUGCACCCCGGAGAACUGCACUUGGGAGAAGAUACACAUUCAGGGGUGGUUGGAGGGCCACCCCACAGCUCGCAGUGUGCAAUCCCAUCACCAGAAGAUGGAGGAGAACAAAGGCAUUACUGACACUGGUCAUUCUUAAGCUGUGGUGUGUGCUUUGCAGAUCCCUAGUACUUUUCCCUGUGGAGGUCCUGAUUUGUAUCCAAUUAUCUUCCACUCUCCUUGCUUUGUUGCUUACCUGCCUCAUUACCAAAAUUCAGGAGGGGCUUGCUAUUCAGGAAACAAUGCGAUUCCUCUGGUUUUGCAUUUAUUUUCUGUUAUUGCUUAUG